rnacentral:rRNA from 1 species
AGAGUUUGAUCCUGGCUCAGAACGAACGCUGGCGGCAGGCCUAACACAUGCAAGUCGAGCGAACCUUCGGGUUAGCGGCGAACGGGUGAGUAACGCGUGGGAAUGUGCCCUUCUCUACGGAAUAGUCCCGGGAAACUGGGUUUAAUACCGUAUACGCCCUUCGGGGGAAAGAUUUAUCGGAGAAGGAUCAGCCCGCGUUGGAUUAGGUAGUUGGUGGGGUAAUGGCCUACCAAGCCGACGAUCCAUAGCUGGUUUGAGAGGAUGAUCAGCCACACUGGGACUGAGACACGGCCCAGACUCCUACGGGAGGCAGCAGUGGGGAAUCUUAGACAAUGGGGGAAACCCUGAUCUAGCCAUGCCGCGUGAGUGACGAAGGCCCUAGGGUCGUAAAGCUCUUUCGCCAGGGAUGAUAAUGACAGUACCUGGUAAAGAAACCCCGGCUAACUCCGUGCCAGCAGCCGCGGUAAUACGGAGGGGGUUAGCGUUGUUCGGAAUUACUGGGCGUAAAGCGCACGUAGGCGGACUAUUAAGUCAGGGGUGAAAUCCCGGGGCUCAACCCCGGAACUGCCUUUGAUACUGGUAGUCUUGAGUUCGAGAGAGGUGAGUGGAAUUCC